rnacentral:rRNA from 1 species
CGUUGCGAUCAUACCAGCACUAAUGCACCGGAUCCCAUCAGAACUCCGCAGUUAAGCGUGCUCGGGCGAGAGUAGUACUAGGAUGGGUGACCCCCUGGGAAGUCCUCGUGUUGCAACCC